GACGUAGGGUCCGAGCGUUGUCCGGAGUUACUGGGCGUAAAGGGCGCGUAGGCGGUUUCUUACGUUCCACGUGAAAGCCCCGGGCUCAACCUGGGAAUGGCAAUGGAUACUGGCGAGCUAGAGUGUGUCAGAGGAUGGUGGAAUUCCCGGUGUAGCGGUGAAAUGCGUAGAGAUCGGGAGGAACAUCAGUGGCGAAGGCGGCCAUCUGGGACAACACUGACGCUGAGGCACGAAAGCGUGGGAGCAAACAGGG
rnacentral:rRNA from 1 species